rnacentral:ncRNA from 5 species
AAAAGCUGGGUUGAGAGGGCGAAAA